rnacentral:rRNA from 1 species
GCGAGUCAUUGUAGCAAUACAAGGCAGACGGCUCAGUAACGCGUAGUCAAUCUACCCUAUGGACGGGAAUAACCUCGGGAAACUGAGAAUAAUGCCCGACAGAACAUUAUACCUGGAACGGUUUAUGUUUCAAAUGAUUUAUCGCCGUAGGAUGGGACUGCGGCCUAUCAGUUUGUUGGUGAGGUAAUGGCCCACCAAGACUAUUACGGGUACGGGCUCUGAGAGGAGUAGCCCGGAGAUGGGUACUGAGACACGGACCCAGGCCCUAUGGGGCGCAGCAGGCGAGAAAACUUUGCAAUGUGCGAAAGCACGACAAGGUUAAUCCGAGUGGUUUCUGCUAAAGAAACCUUUUGCUAGUCCUAGAAACACUAGUGAAUAAGGGGUGGGCAAGUUCUGGUGUCAGCCGCCGCGGUAAAACUAGCACCUCAAGUGGUCAGGAUGAUUAUUGGGCCUAAAGCAUCCGUAGCUCGUUUUGUAAGUUUUCGGUUAAAUCCAUACGCUUAACGUAUGGGCUGCCGGGAAUACUGCAUAACUAGGAAGUGGGAGAGGUAGACGGUACUCGGUAGGAAGGGGUAAAAUCCUUUGAUCUAUUGAUGACCACCCGUGGCGAAGGCGGUCUACCAGAACACGUUCGACGGUGAGGGAUGAAAGCUGGGGGAGCAAACCGGAUUAGAUACCCGGGUAGUCCCAGCUGUAAACUAUGCAAACUCAGUGAUGCAUUGGCUUGUGGCCAAUGCAGUGCUGCAGGGAAGCCGUUAAGUUUGCCGCCUGGGAAGUACGUACGCAAGUAUGAAACUUAAAGGAAUUGGCGGGGGAGCACCACAAAGGGUGAAGCCUGCGGU